rnacentral:rRNA from 1 species
AUACGUAGGUGGCAAGCGUUAUCCGGAAUUAUUGGGCGUAAAGAGGGAGCAGGCGGCAGCAAGGGUCUGUGGUGAAAGCCUGAAGCUUAACUUCAGUAAGCCAUAGAAACCAGGCAGCUAGAGUGCAGGAGAGGAUCGUGGAAUUCCAUGUGUAGCGGUGAAAUGCGUAGAUAUAUGGAGGAACACCAGUGGCGAGGGCGACGAUCUGGCCUGCAACUGACGCUCAGUCCCGAAAGCGUGGGGAGCAAAUAGGAUUAGAUACCCUAGUAGUCCACGCCGUAAACGAUGAGUACUAAGUGUUGGAUGUCAAAGUUCAGUGCUGCAGUUAACGCAAUAAGUACUCCGCCUGAGUAGUACGUUCGCAAGAAUGAAACUCAAAGGAAUUGGCGGGG